AGAGUUUGAUCCUGGCUCAGGAUGAACGCUGGCGGUAUGCUUAACACAUGCAAGUCGAACGGAUGUUUUCGGACAUUAGUGGCGGACGGGUGAGUAACGCGUGAGAAUCUAGCUUCAGGUUGGGGACAACAGUUGGAAACGACUGCUAAUACCGAAUAUGCCGAGAGGUGAAAGAUUAAUUGCCUGAAGAAGAGCUCGCGUCUGAUUAGCUAGUUGGUGGGGUAAGAGCUUACCAAGGCGACGAUCGGUAGCUGGUCUGAGAGGACGAUCAGCCACACUGGGACUGAGACACGGCCCAGACUCCUACGGGAGGCAGCAGUGGGGAAUUUUCCGCAAUGGGCGAAAGCCUGACGGAGCAAUACCGCGUGAGGGAAGAAGGCUCUUGGGUUGUAAACCUCUUUUCUUAGGGAAGAAAAAAAUGACGGUACCUAAGGAAUAAGCAUCGGCUAACUCCGUGCCAGCAGCCGCGGUAAUACGGAGGAUGCAAGCGUUAUCCGGAAUGAUUGGGCGUAAAGCGUCCGCAGGUGGUUUAUCAAGUUUGCGGUUAAAGGUUCUGGCUCAACCAGAGACAGGCCGUGAAAACUGAUAGACUAGAGUAUGGUAGGGGCAGAGGGAAUUCCCAGUGUAGCGGUGAAAUGCGUAGAGAUUGGGAAGAACACCGGUGGCGAAAGCGCUCUGCUAGGCCAAAACUGACACUGAGGGACGAAAGCUAGGGGAGCGAAUGGGAUUAGAUACCCCAGUAGUCCUAGCCGUAAACGAUGGAUACUAGGUGUAGCUUGUAUCGACCCAAGCUGUGCCGUAGCUAACGCGUUAAGUAUCCC
rnacentral:rRNA from 1 species